AUGAAGAUGUCAGUAUCCUGCAUCUGUUUCCCUGUUUUGCCAGAUGUCUUGAGAAGGAACAUGAAGAAAGAAGAGUUUGGCUUUAAAAGCGGCUAUUGUGAUGGUGCUUCCCAGUUGUUUAUUUUAACCACUGGUUAACCAGGACCCAGUGAUUCUGUUGCUUGCCCUCCAUGGACAGUCUUGCUCUACUAUCUUGAAAAUAAUCACUGGUUAAAGCUCCUCAAUGCUACACAAAAGCCUAAAAUUUUAGCUAUAGAUUUGAGAUGUUGCUAAAUUGCCCAGCUGUUGAGAUGAAGGGG
rnacentral:lncRNA from 1 species